CAGUAUCCAUUGCCAGCCGGAUUUCAUGGGUGUUCAUGCUGCCAGAUCCAUCCACAUCAUAAAUCAUGAAUAUAUGCUUUGAAGAAUACAGGAGAGAUCAACCACAUGAAGCUUCUUCCGGAGCGCAGGGUCCAAAGAUGACCACAGUGGUGACCUGAAGCCAGAAGAAAAACAAAAGCCAAAACCAAGAGACAUGGAAAUGAACUGCUAAGAGUUUUCAUAGGCAAAGCUGGUGCAAUGAAGACACUAUGAGGCACUAUGUACACUGGCAGGAUUUAUGUGCCUCAGCAAUCAAAUUUGCAGACUACACCUGCACUUAUCCUCUAAUGAGACAUUGCAAAAGAAAUACGCUAAAUGCAUGAUGUACAAGCUCACCUUUGGCCUCUUCCAUAUCACCUGCUGAAUAUUCACAGAGCCGGGUCCUAGCUCACGGUAUCCAAGUGACUCUGCACAGGGUUUGAACUCGGGGUCG